GUCUUGUAAUUGGAAUGAUGGUGACCUAAACCCUCACCAGAGUAACAAUUGGAGGGCAAGUCUGGUGCCAGCAGCCGCGGUAAUUCCAGCUCCAAUAGCGUAUAUUAAACUUGUUGCAGUUAAAAAGCUCGUAGUUGAAUUUUUGCGUGGUGUUAAUAUUGACUGAUGUCGAGAUUGCACUUCGCUUUUGGGAUUUUUCCCUUUUUACUUUGAGAAAAUUAGAGUGUUUCAAGCAGACUUUUGUCUUGAAUACUUCAGCAUGGAAUAAUAGAGUAGGACUUUGGUUCUAUUUUGUUGGUUUGUGAACCUUAGUAAUGGUUAAUAGGAACGGUUGGGGGCAUUCGUAUUUAACUGUCAGAGGUGAAAUUCUUAGAUUUGUUAAAGACGAACUACUGCGAAAGCAUUUGCCAAGGACG
rnacentral:rRNA from 1 species